AUCUUUGUAAAGAUUUUUGCUUGGCUAAGUUGAUCAAGAAGUCCAAAUAUCAACAGCAAUGGAUAUCUUUUCUUUACCAUGAUUUUAUUAAGAUUACAAUAAUUGACACACAUUCAUAAGGAUCCACAAAUAAUAUCAAAAAUUCACAAAUAAUAUCUGAGUACCAAUUGGUAACUUGGAAUGUUGAAUAAAAUUCUUAGCUAGAUUUUUUUUAAUGUACUCUUUUAAAGUUGCAAGUUCAUUUUGGAAUAAAUUGUAGAUGGAUCUAAACAAUGGUUGAGCAUCUUCUUGAAGGUGAAUUGGACAAUUGUAUGGACAAUGUUUUAGCAAGAUAUCCACAUUUUCCU
rnacentral:lncRNA from 1 species